UGCAAGUCGACGAUGAUGCCCAGCUUGCUGGGUGGAUUAGUGGCGAACGGGUGAGUAACACGUGAGUAACCUGCCCCUGACUCUGGGAUAAGCGUUGGAAACGACGUCUAAUACUGGAUAUGAUCACUGGCCGCAUGGUCUGGUGGUGGAAAGAUUUUUUGGUUGGGGAUGGACUCGCGGCCUAUCAGCUUGUUGGUGAGGUAAUGGCUCACCAAGGCGACGACGGGUAGCCGGCCUGAGAGGGUGACCGGCCACACUGGGACUGAGACACGGCCCAGACUCCUACGGGAGGCAGCAGUGGGGAAUAUUGCACAAUGGGCGAAAGCCUGAUGCAGCAACGCCGCGUGAGGGAUGACGGCCUUCGGGUUGUAAACCUCUUUUAGUAGGGAAGAAGCGAAAGUGACGGUACCUGCAGAAAAAGCACCGGCUAACUACGUGCCAGCAGCCGCGGUAAUACGUAGGGUGCAAGCGUUGUCCGGAAUUAUUGGGCGUAAAGAGCUCGUAGGCGGUUUGUCGCGUCUGCUGUGAAAUCCCGAGGCUCAACCUCGGGCUUGCAGUGGGUACGGGCAGACUAGAGUGCGGUAGGGGAGAUUGGAAUUCCUGGUGUAGCGGUGGAAUGCGCAGAUAUCAGGAGGAACACCGAUGGCGAAGGCAGAUCUCUGGGCCGUAACUGACGCUGAGGAGCGAAAGCAUGGGGAGCGAACAGGAUUAGAUACCCUGGUAGUCCAUGCCGUAAACGUUGGGCGCUAGAUGUAGGGACCUUUCCACGGUUUCUGUGUCGUAGCUAACGCAUUAAGCGCCCCGCCUGGGGAGUACGGCCGCAAGGCUAAAACUCAAAGGAAUUGACGGGGGCCCGCACAAGCGGCGGAGCAUGCGGAUUAAUUCGAUGCAACGCGAAGAACCUUACCAAGGCUUGACAUACACCGGAAACGGCCAGAGAUGGUCGCCCCCUUGUGGUCGGUGUACAGGUGGUGCAUGGUUGUCGUCAGCUCGUGUCGUGAGAUGUUGGGUUAAGUCCCGCAACGAGCGCAACCCUCGUUCUAUGUUGCCAGCGGGUUAUGCCGGGGACUCAUAGGAGACUGCCGGGGUCAACUCGGAGGAAGGUGGGGAUGACGUCAAAUCAUCAUGCCCCUUAUGUCUUGGGCUUCACGCAUGCUACAAUGGCCGGUACAAAGGGCUGCGAUACCGUAAGGUGGAGCGAAUCCCAAAAAGCCGGUCUCAGUUCGGAUUGAGGUCUGCAACUCGACCUCAUGAAGUCGGAGUCGCUAGUAAUCGCAGAUCAGCAACGCUGCGGUGAAUACGUUCCCGGGCCUUGUACACACCGCCCGUCAAGUCAUGAAAGUCGGUAACACCCGAAGCCGGUGGCCUAACCCUUGUGGAAGGAGCCG
rnacentral:rRNA from 1 species